rnacentral:rRNA from 1 species
CGAUACUCUUUAGCUUGCUAAGGAGGAAAGUGGCGCACGGGUGCGUAACGCGUAUGCAACCUACCUUAAUCAGGGGGAUAGCCCGAAGAAAUUCGGAUUAACACCGCAUAAAAUCACAGUACAGCAUUGUACAAUGAUCAAAUAUUUAUAGGAUUAAGAUGGGCAUGCGUGACAUUAGUUAGUUGGCGGGGUAACGGCCCACCAAGACCACGAUGUCUAGGGGAUCUGAGAGGAUGACCCCCCACACUGGUACUGAGACACGGACCAGACUCCUACGGGAGGCAGCAGUAAGGAAUAUUGGUCAAUGGAGGCAACUCUGAACCAGCCAUGCCGCGUGCAGGAAGACAGCCCUCUGGGUCGUAAACUGCUUUUAUUCGGGAAUAAACCUACUUACGUGUAAGUAGCUGAAUGUACCGAAGGAAUAAGGAUCGGCUAACUCCGUGCCAGCAGCCGCGGUAAUACGGAGGAUCCAAGCGUUAUCCGGAUUUAUUGGGUUUAAAGGGUGCGUAGGCGGCUUUUUAAGUCAGGGGUGAAAGACGGUGGCUCAACCAUCGCAGUGCCCUUGAUACUGAAGAGCUUGAAUGAAUUAGAGGUAGGCGGAAUGUGACAAGUAGCGGUGAAAUGCAUAGAUAUGUCACAGAACACCGAUUGCGAAGGCAGCUUACUAUGAUUUUAUUGACGCUGAGGCACGAAAGCGUGGGGAUCAAACAGGAUUAGAUACCCUGGUAGUCCACGCCCUAAACGAUGAAUACUCGCUGUUAGCGAUACACAGUUAGCGGCUAAGCGAAAGCGUUAAGUAUUCCACCUGGGGAGUACGGUCGCAAGAUUGAAACUCAAAGGAAUUGACGGGGGCCCGCACAAGCGGAGGAGCAUGUGGUUUAAUUCGAUGAUACGCGAGGAACCUUACCCGGGCUUGAAAGUUAGUGAAUCAUUUAGAGAUAGAUGAGUCCGCAAGGACACGAAACUAGGUGCUGCAUGGCUGUCGUCAGCUCGUGCCGUGAGGUGUUGGGUUAAGUCCC